UGAAUCUAAACAGACGUAUAUUUUUUUAACAUAAACAAAAAAUUAAGAAUUCAUAAAUUAUUUACCGAAUCAUCAAAAAAAAAACAGGCAUCACACCUGCAAGGUUUUGCAAAUAUGAUGCCUGGUUUUUCUCCCAACGAGAUGGACUCUGAUGCAGUGGAGGAAGAGGCAUCAACUUCACAGCAAGCAACGACUGCAAUAUUUACCAACAAUGCAACAGCGACAACAAGCAUAAAUGCCACCAUGAGACAACGGCUCGAAACCACCGUAGAUUUGGAGUCCUCUGAAUUAAGGGAAAGACUAAAAAAACACAAGCAGAUGGACGACAAUCAAUUUGGUAUACUUGGGGUUCUUACCCAGGUUGAUUUUGCCUCCGUAUCUGCUCCAUCAACUCAAGCCACACAGGCUGCCAAAGGCAACAACAACAAUAGCAACAAUGACAGUGCACCAAAAUUAAAAUGGUGCCCACCAAUAUUCCUUUUUAAUGUGAAUGUCAAAGCUCUAGUUGACUCCUUAAGAGAUACAAUUGGGACAUCUGCUUUUAAGGAAUUUUGAUGGAUUUAUCCUUGGAGGUGAUCUAAACUCAAAAAGUCCUGUCUGGGGUGAUACACUGGAAAAUAUGAAUGGUAAAACAAUGAGAAAAUGGCUUGAAGACAACAUGCUUGAUGUCACCCGAAUUUGUGAUUCUUCUCCAUCAUUUCCAAACGGUUCUUCAUUCUUGGACCAUUUCCUCGUCAGUCCGCACCUGUUAAAUGAUACUCUUCCAAAUUUUGAAGUUGCAUCCUUGUCAUCCUUCUCAGACCAUUUUCUAAUUAAAUUGGCCCUGCGUAUGGAUCAAACAGAGGUUCUUAUGAGAACCCCUCGCAUCUUUACAUCAUAUAAGGAUACAAAUUGGAGCAAUUUUAAGCAAGACAUGGAUUCAGCGUCUUGCCGCAUCACGCCCUCGUCUAUUAUGAACCUGGAAACACACAAAUAGACGCGUUAAUAAAGGAUUUUAACUCAUCAUUUAAUACUAUUCACGAUAAUCACACAAAACGGAUACAAAUCCAGGACAAUAAGUUUCUUCUCUCAGAAAGAACAAAAAAACUAUAUAAAAUCAAGCACCUCUGGCAAAAGGAACUUAAAAAGAUAUUCCACCGGAAAGGCAAUAGAACAUCUAUUUUAAGAUGCUGUCUUGGGGAUGCGAACAUUUAUAUAUGUGGCCUAUGAUAUUAUUGGCAACUGUGGAUGUAGACGGAUGAUUCCUAGACUGCCUGCCACGCUGGGAUGCUUCAAAUAACACCAGCACAAGCAUGGAAGGCUGUGUGCAAAAUCGCCUCAGGCUCGGCACCAACAAAAAUCAAAGCCUUGGAACAACAAACGCUGGCCCCCGUCGACGGAUCGUGGAGGCCAAUAUAUCAAUGUACCGGUUCCGUUGGGGCACUAUAGUCAACAAAAGGAAGAUAAGCACGAACAUACGAAACAAAUUAAUUUACAACACAUUAAAUUAUUACAAUUGUCUGCAAGGAAACUGAAACUCACAUUAAAGAAUUUGCCACGACAGAAACACCACUA